GAUGAAAACAGUAGCUAAUCAAAGCUAUUAGGGCUUAUAUAGGGUUUUAUAUCCCUAUCUAGUGUCUCUCACACACAAGCUUUUCUUCAUUUCCCGCCUAAGUUCGCAAUCAUCUUCUAUCCAUUUUAUGCUUUACUCUUCUUUCCCUUUAGGUUUUCGAAACCACUGCCAAAAUCUACCAUGGUAUCUCCAAGGCAACUCCUCUCCAUUAUCGAAUCCUCUCUCCUAAGUCCGUCGCCUCCUUCACCUGCUCAAAGAAUCGAGCUCUUGCACGCCAUUCGCAGCUCCCUUUCAUCUCUCCAGUCUCUCCUUUCCUAUCCGCCUCCCAAACCAUCGGACCGUGCCCAAGUUCAGUCAAAAGAAGUCAGGCUGCCUGAUUCACCGCCAAUCUCGUUGGAUGAUCAGGAUGUACAGAUUGCUCUGCAAUUGAGUGAUGACCUCAAUCUCAAUGAAAUAGAUUGUGUUCGAUUGCUUGUUUCAGCAAACCAAGAGUGGAUUUUAAUGGGACGAGAGCGAUUGGAAAUUUUGCGCCUUGCAGCGGGACUUUGGUACACUGAGAGACGGGAUCUUAUAACAUCCCUCUUUAUGCUUUUAAGGGCUGUUGUGCUCGAUCAACAACUUGAAGCUGAUAUUGUUUUAGACAUUCAGAAGUGUUUGGAAGAUCUUAUCAAUUGUGGGCUUAGACAACAUUUCAUUUCUCUUAUAAAGGAACUCAAUCGAGAAGAACCUGCUGGUUUAGGUGGGCCUCUAUGUGAGCGCUACAUCAUUGACUCUAGAGGUACUCUUGUUGAGCGGCGAGCUGUGGUUCAGAAGGAGAGACAUUUACUCGGACAUUGCCUUGUUCUCUCUGUUUUGGUUGUGCGAACAAGCCCAAAAGAUGUAAAGGAUAUCCUUUAUGUCUUAAAAGAUAGUGCAACUGAGCUUAUGGAGGUCAAUGACACAUUAAAAUAUCAGAUUUCAUUCAGUCUUCUUUUCACUCUUGUCAUUGCAUUCAUAUCAGAUGCUUUGGGUGCAGUACCUGAUAAAGCAUCUAUCCUGUCUCGUGAUGCUUCUUUUAGAAGAGAAUUUCAUGAAAUUCUGAUGGCUACCGGAAAUGCUUCAGUUGUGGAGGGCUUCAUUGGUGGUGUAAGGCUUGCUUGGUCUGUACAUUUGAUGUUAACAAAUGACGGGAUUACUGCUAGGGAAGCAUUUUCAAGCACUUCAUCAAAUGAUUUGGAGUAUUUAAAUUCAUGCUUGGAAUCCAUUUUCUUGAACAAUGUUUUCCAGUUUUUGCUGGAUAAUAUUCUUCGAACUGCAGCUUACCAGAAUGAUGACGAGGAUAUUAAAUACAUGUACAAUGCUUAUCUACACAAGCUGAUCACUUGCUUCCUUUCUCAUCCAUUUGCGAGGGACAAGGUAAAAGAUUCAAAGGAGAAGGCAAUGGGUGUGCUUAAUUCAUACCGUUUGUCUGGUCCGCGUGAUGUUGUGCAUGAUAGCAAUUUGCAUUCUCAACAGACCACUGAAAUUGGCCCUUUACCGUUUGUCUCCCUACUGGAGUUUGUGAGCGAAAUUUACCAGAAGGAACCGGAGUUGUUGUCCGGCAAUGAUGUUUUAUGGACAUUUGUGAAUUUUGCUGGAGAGGAUCAUACUAAUUUCCAAACACUAGUGGCUUUCUUGAAAAUGCUAAGUACUUUGGCUUCUAGCCAAGAAGGCGCUUCAAAGGUUUAUGAACUACUUCAGGGCAAAGCAUUCCGCUCUGUUGGGUGGAACACUUUAUUUGAUUGCUUAACAAUCUAUGAUGAGAAAUUUAAACAAUCCCUUCAGACUGCUGGGGCUGUGUUACCCGAGUUUCAAGAGGGUGAUGCAAAAGCCCUUGUUGCGUAUUUGAGUGUUCUUCAGAAGGUUAUCGAAAAUGGACAUCCCAAUGAAAGAAAGAACUGGUUUCCUGAUAUUGAACCAUUAUUCAAGCUCCUUAGUUAUGAAAAUGUGCCUCCAUAUCUGAAGGGUGCUUUACGGAAUGCCAUAACCACUUUUGUUCAAGUCUCUCCAGUCCUAAAAGACGUUAUUUGGAGUUAUCUUGAGCAGUAUGAUUUGCCAUUAGUUGUUGGCACUCGUGUUGGAAACAGUGCAAAACCAAUGGCAGCUCAGGUUUACGAUAUGAGAUAUGAGUUGAAUGAAAUAGAAGCAAGAAUAGAGCGAUAUCCUUCAACAAUAUCUUUCCUUAAGCUGUUAAAUGCUCUUAUUGCUGAGGAAAAAGAUACAAGUGAUAGAGGGCGUAGAUUUAUAGGUAUCUUUAGGUUCAUAUAUGAUGAUGUGUUUGGGCUGUUUCCUCAGAGAGCCUAUGCAGAUUCUUGUGAGAAAUGGCAGUUAGUUGUUGCUUGUCUGCAGCAUUUUUAUAUGAUGUUGAGCAUGUAUAACAUCCAAGAUGAGGAUGUUGACAGUGUUGUUGACCAGUCACAGACACAAUCAUCUUCUCUUGAGAUGCAGCUUCCGGUCCUAGAGUUGCUAAAAGAUUUCAUGAGCGGGAAGACUGUUUUCCGCAAUCUUAUAGGUAUUCUUCUACCAGGGGUCAAUUCAAUCAUCACUGAACGGACCAAUGAAAUUCAUGGGCAACUUCUAGAAAAGGCUGUACAACUUUCUUUGGAAAUUAUAAUUCUAGUUUUGGAAAAGGAUAUACUUGUUUCUGAUUACUGGCGGCCUCUGUACCAGCCCUUGGACGUUAUACUAUCUCAAGAUCAUAAUCAAAUUGUGGCAUUGUUGGAGUAUGUCAGAUAUGAUUUUCUACCGCAAAUUCAGCAGUGCUCUAUCAAAAUCAUGUCUAUUCUGAGUUCUCGCAUGGUUGGGCUCAUACAGUUACUGUUAAAAUCCAAUGCUGCAAGCUGUUUGGUUGAGGAUUAUGCAGCCUGCCUUGAGCUACGUUCAGAAGAGUGCCAAAUUAUAGAGAACAGUGCUAAUGAUCCAGGGGUUUUGAUAAUGCAGCUUCUGAUAGAUAAUAUUGGUAGACCAGCUCCAAAUAUUACACAUUUACUGCUUAAGUUUGAUCUUGACACCCCAGUUGAGCGAACAGUUCUACAGCCAAAAUUUCACUACAGUUGCUUGAAAGUUAUUCUUGAAAUCUUGGAGAAACUUUUAAAGGCAGAUAUUAAUGCAUUACUCCAUGAGUUUGGUUUUCAGCUCCUUUAUGAGUUGUGCUUGGAUCCACUAACUUGUGGCCCUACCAUGGAUUUGUUGAGCAAUAAAAAGUAUCAAUUCUUUGUGAAGCACCUCGAAACCUUUGGUGUUGCUCCCCUUCCAAAAAGAAAUAGCAACCUGCCACUUCGCAUCAGUUCCCUUCACCAGAGAGCAUGGCUCUUAAAGCUCUUAGCUGUAGAGUUGCAUUCUGGCGAUACGAGUACCCCUACUCACAGAGAAGCAUGUCAGAAUAUACUUGCUCAUCUUUUUGGAAGGGAAAUAAUUGAAAUUGGGUCUGAUCGAGUGGUUUCUGAUUCUUUCACUUUUCAAAAUGGCACUGAACAUGCUGGAACCCAAGCGAUAAGCAAGAGUAAGGUUUUAGAGUUGCUUGAGGUAGUCCAGUUUAGAUAUCCAGAUACUAGUAUGAAGCUUUCUCAGAUUGUCUCUAAUGUGAAGUACGACUUGCUGGCAGAGGACAUACUUGGAGAUCCAGCUGCUUCUGGAAAGGGUGGUAUUUAUUACUAUUCAGAGCGCGGUGAUCGUCUGAUAGACCUAACUUCUUUCCAUGACAAACUUUGGCAGAAAUUCAAUUCAUUGUAUCCCCAAUUGAGUAACUUUGGCAGUGAAGCUGAGCUAAAUGAUCUAAGAGAGACGAUUCAACGGAUGUUGAGAUGGGGAUGGAAGUAUAAUAAGAACCUUGAGGAACAAGCUGCACAACUUCAUAUGUUGACUGGCUGGUCUCAGAUUGUUGAGGUCUCUGCUUCAAGAAGGAUGUCCUCUCUGGAAAAUAGAUCUGAAAUUUUAUAUCAGGUUCUUGAUGCCUCUUUGAGUGCUUCUGCUUCUCCAGACUGUUCAUUGAGGAUGGCAUUCAUUUUGAGUCAGGUUGCGCUUACAUGCAUGGCUAAACUUCGGGAUGAAAGAUUUAUAUGCCCUGGUGGUCUAAAUCCUGAUAGUAUCACAUGUCUUGAUAUUAUCAUGGUGAAGCAAUUAUCAAAUGGUGCUUGUCACUCUAUAUUGUUUAAGCUUGUAAUGGCAAUUCUGAGAAAUGAAUCAUCAGAGGCCUUGAGGAGACGCCAAUAUGCCUUGCUGCUUAGCUAUUUUCAGUAUUGUCAGCAUACACUUGAUCCAGAUGUUCCAACAACAGUUAUGCAGUUCUUAUUGCUUACUGAGCAAGAUAGUGAAGAUCUGGACCUCCGUAAGAUUAACAGAGAACAGGCUGAACUAGCUCAUGCAAUUUUUUCCAUAUUGAGAAAAGAAGCUCAGGCAAUCUUAGAUUUGGUAAUAAAGGAUGCAACUCAAGGUAGUGAACCUGGGAAGACAAUAGCACUCUAUGUUCUGGAUUCACUGAUUUGUAUUGAUCACGAGAGAUAUUUCUUUAGCCAACUUCAAAGUAGGGGAUUUUUGCGGUCUUGCCUGAUGAGCAUCAGCAAUGUUUCCUAUCAGGAUUUUAGGCAUUCCCUAGACUCUUUGCAACGAGCAUGCACUGUUGAGGCUGAACUGGCAUUACUGCUUAGAAUUAGCCAUAAGUAUGGAAAAUCUGGGGCACAAGUUUUAUUUUCAAUGGGUGUUUUGGAGCAUAUUGCCUCAUGCAGGGCAGUUAAUUUGCAGGGAAGUUUGAGACGGCUUGAUCCAAAGCUUCAACGAGAUGCGGCUGUGGAUAUUGACAAACAACGGAUGAUCACAACUCCAAUACUGAGAUUGGUGUUUUCAUUGACUUCAUUGGUUGAUACAUCUGAUAUUUUUGAGGUGAAGAACAAAAUUGUUCGUGAAGUUAUAGAUUUUGUCAAAGGACAACAAUUGUUAUUUGAUCAAAUUCUUCAGGAAGAUAUUUCUGAAGCUGAUGAUUUGACAAUGGAGCAGAUAAAUCUUCUUGUUGGCAUACUUAGCAAGGUAUGGCCUUAUGAGGAGAGUGAUGAGUUUGGUUUUGUUCAAGAGCUUUUCAGUAUGAUGCGUACUCUUUUCUCUUUUGAGUCAGAGACACUUACUUUAGGGAGAUCAGUGCAAUCUCCAGAGGUAUAUCUCAUGUUUCUUUUGAGGAAAACCACUUCAAAGUUCAAACAGAAGCAAAAUAUAUUAUUCAUCGUUAACUUGUUUGGUUGCUUGUUGAAAAAUUAUCAGACUAAGAGAAAGUUAGAAUUGAACUCGUUUCGGUUGUGCUUCAGUCUGAGCUCUUAUCUAUAUUUUCUGGUCACAAAGAAAUCUUUGCGACUCCAGGUAUAUGCACGAACUUUGGGCAAGUGGCCAUUGUGUAUAAAUUUUCAUACGUGUGGAACUUUUGGUACCAUUUUGCUUAAUGAAUAAAAAAUUAUGACAUCUAUGGUGAAUAUAAUGCACCACAGGUUUCAGACCACCCUGUUGAUUACCGUUCUCCAGCUGGGCUGCAGCAGCCCACAUUGACUUUACUUGGUUCUCUUCUUAGUUCUGUGACAAGUUCCCUUGAAAGAGCAGCGGAGGAAAAAUCUUUGCUACUUAAUAAGGUUCGAGAUAUAAAUGAGCUAUCAAGGCAGGAGGUGGAUGAAAUUAUCAGCAUGUGUAUUCGGAGAGAAUGUGUAUCAUCAUCUGAUGAUAUACAAAAAAGGUUAUCUGUUUUUUGCUUCUUGUCUCUCCUCUUCUUUUAUGCUGUAAUUUUGUUUCUGUUCAUCAUACAAAAAAGGUUCUUGUUUUGGUAAUGAUGCAUUAAGUUAAACGAAGUUUAUUUUCCUAGUGUUUUCAGUCAUUACUAUGUAUAUUAAUGAUAAGCAAAAAACUUGGAGAUAGGUAUCAAGUUGUGGUGCGUUAAAGCAGGGUCCUUAAAAGGAAAGACAAGCGUUCAAUUUUUUUGGCAUGUAGUAGUUACUGUUAGGCAUCAAACUUGCAUGCCCAUAGUUACAACACUUAUCACUUAAUCAUUGCACAAUUCAAUAGAUGAAUAAAAACAAAUUACUAAUAAUGUAGACCAUCCUUCACAAAGAUGGUAACUAUGUUCAAAAGUAAUAUUUGCAAAAGAGAAGAUUAAACUCUGCCCUUAUGUGCUAUGUUCAGUCAACGCACUUGUCCAACAUUUAGUUAUUUUGUUUUUAUGCUGGAACAUGAAGUAAAUGCCCUGAUUUCUUGAAACUGGAGUUUUUCUAAAGAUUCAUGCAACAUUUUGAAUACUUUUAUAGGUACUAACUUUUGCAUUGAGGCAAUCCAUCUUAAGAAAGAUAAAUGCGAGUCAUGCCAAAUUGGUCGUCAUUGCUCAGAGUUUGAUGGGUCUUGGAUUAUUCCUGAACCUUGGCGAAGAGGGAGGAGUGUGAUAUCCUACACUUCCUUGCCCUCUGCCUCCCCCUUUAAAAAAAGGGAAAACAAGAAAAAAAGAAGAAGAAAGAAGGAAUGAAAGGGAAAAAAAACCCAAUAUCUUGUUGGCUGCUGUUUUAUAAAGUUGCUUCAGUGUCAAAUAAAUUCACACUUCCCCCAGUACCAUCCUAUGUUAACCAUCAAAGAGUUGUAAUAUAGAUCCAAAGGCGGAAAAGUUGUAGUAAACCUUAUUUGACUGUUCAUAAAAACUCAUUGGCUCUACAAUCUAAUGGAACAAUGCAUGUUGCUCUGCCAUUUCCAACACAUCAUCAUUAUAUGCAAGCUGUCUUGUUCUGUAAUAAGGUCUAUUGUUUUCUCUAUUUCUUAAUGACAUUCUAAUGGGGGCGUGGAUUGCAUAUGAUAUAAUAUUUCAGUGCUUGUAAUUUGAUUCAUUUAUCGUUUGGGUACUAGGGUUUAUUAUGCUCAACCUUUUUUUCCCCAAAUGGUAAUAACUCAAUUGACCAUAGGUCUUUAUUGUUUAUUCUUGGUGUAUUUUUUAAUCUUCCAACUAUAUGAAUGAGGUGCAUAAUGAUUGUUAUUUGCAAUUAAGUGGUUCACAUCUGACUGAUGAAACUUCACCAUUGAUAUCUUCUCACUCUCUGAAAUUGUUCAUUGUACUGUUUCAAAAUCUUCAUGGUGGAAUAUGAUAGGAAUAUGCUUUUAAUGUUGGAGUAAAACCAUCAAUCCAUUCUCUUAUUUGCAGGAGGUAUAUCGCAAUGGUGGAAAUGUGCCAUGUGGCUGGCAAUAGAGAUCAGCUAAUUACCAUAUUACUUCCACUUGUGGAACAAUUGCUAAAUGUCAUUCUCAUUCACUUUCAAGACAGCUCUGUGACAUCUGAUGCUAAUGGAGCUAUGAAAGUGAUUACAUAUGGUGUGAAGUCUGACUCAGAACAGGACACAUCUUUAUUGUGUGGAAAACUGGUUCCAGCUUUAGAACGUCUUGAGCUAAUAAGUGAGGUAUGCAGCUUCCUGAAAUAUUAGUUUACAGCUUACAGCUAGGUGGAAUAUUCCAAUUACUGAGCUAUUGUUCUUUGGGAGUAGUCUGGUGAGUUGAUUAUUAGUAGAAAGCGAAAUUUUCUUCCUCAAUGGAGACUGUUGGUGUUGUGCAAGCAAAAUACUCACAGGAAUCUUUCUGGGUGUCCCUAUUUUAUUGUUAUUUCAUUGGUUGAAGCUCAUGCCUAUGCUCUCUAUCCAAGCACUCACUUUAUUUGUCCGUUUUCCUCUAGUACCAAGAACUAUACUUCUUAUAUUGCUUAUAAAGGUUUACUAGAACUAUUUAGUAUACUUGGAAGGUAUCAACAUAAUCCACAGCUCCAUACGCCCCCAAUUUUUUA
rnacentral:misc_RNA from 1 species